rfam:Camelus ferus unplaced genomic scaffold scaffold852, whole genome shotgun sequence.
UGGGAUUAAGCAAAGGCACAGUGAACUCAUAGCAUCUUCUUUGGGAUUACUCAGGAACCAGAACUUUUCACACAAAUGUAAGAAAAUCUACCAAGGAAUCCCUUUACCUAACAGCAUCUCACAAAGCUCCAGUCAGAUUCCAGAAAAGGCCUCUUGAUACAUCCAGGUAGAACCUA